GUCCUGGUUCUUCCUGGUGCUCAUGCCUGGGGUCAGGUUCCGGUUGGCUCUUCUCGCUCCUGUCCUCAACUCGAGCCCUGAGGCUGAGGCCUGCUUCCUCCUUGGACCCCAUCAACGUCUCAGGGAUGCCACCUCUAGACGACCUUCACAGGGGGCAGCUUGCCCAGACACCCUGGCCGGUGGCCUCGGUCGCUGCCUGCCUUCUGCCUCCAGGAGCCCCCAGGAACCACAUUCUUCCUGGGACUGGGUCGCAUAGUGGACACGGCGACUUAUGUCGAAGGGAAUUCUGACACCUGCUGCAAGAUGGGUGGGCCUUGAGGACACUAUGCUGAGUGACACAGAAGAAAGGUCCGAACCAAACGAAAGCACCAGGAGGCAUUUGCAGAGCCCGAGAGCAGACGAGUGCUUGAGGAGACUGGCAGAGGGGACUUCGUGGGAUGAGGACAAGGCUCUCAAGCUGAACUGUGUUGGAUUUCGUG